UGGGGAAUAUUGCACAAUGGGCGCAAGCCUGAUGCAGCCAUGCCGCGUGUGUGAAGAAGGCCUUCUGGUUGUAAAGCACUUUCAGCGGGGAGGAAGGCGUUAAAGUUAAUACCUUUGCUCAUUGACGUUACCCGCAGAAGAAGCACCGGCUAACUCCGUGCCAGCAGCCGCGGUAAUACGGAGGGUGCAAGCGUUAAUCGGAAUUACUGGGCGUAAAGCGCACGCAGGCGGUUUGUUAAGUCAGAUGUGAAAUCCCCGGGCUCAACCUGGGAACUGCAUCUGAUACUGGCAAGCUUGAGUCUCGUAGAGGGGGGUAGAAUUCCAGGUGUAGCGGUGAAAUGCGUAGAGAUCUGGAGGAAUACCGGUGGCGAAGGCGGCCCCCUGGACGAAGACUGACGCUCAGGUGCGAAAGCGUGGGGAGCAAACAGG
rnacentral:rRNA from 1 species